rnacentral:rRNA from 1 species
UACGUAGGGUGCGAGCGUUGUCCGGAAUUAUUGGGCGUAAAGAGCUCGUAGGCGGUGUGUCGCGUCGGUCGUGAAAACUUGGGGCUUAACUCUGAGCUUGCGGUCGAUACGGGCAUCACUGGAGUUCGGCAGGGGAGACUGGAAUUCCUGGUGUAGCGGUGAAAUGCGCAGAUAUCAGGAGGAACACCGGUGGCUAAGGCGGCUCUCUAGUACGGUACUGACGCUGAGACGCGAAAGCGUGGGGAGCGAACAGG